CGUAAGCCCAACCCGUGGUCGUUCAGCUGCGGUGCGUUUGCAUAAAACAUUUACAACUGAAACGACGAAAAGCAACACCAAAUGCCGAUGAUGACGAAAACUCUGAUGGAUAGUACCCGUGGACGGGCGGCGGAAAAGCGGAAUGAGAAAAAAAAGAACGAGGACGAAACAAAGCACAUAAAAAAAAAUAAAAACAGCCCUUCGUGACACGGUUCCCAGCCCGGAAGUGCAGUCGCGCGUGUGGAUGCACCAAUUGCGGUGCUAAUUAUUCCGGAACGACAGCACGUAAGCAGGAAAACAAGACUCCCUAGUUUGUGAUCUGUCAAAACGAACAAAAACUCACUAGCAUAGCUUACUGUGACGAGAUUCAGCUGUCAAACAUGCUUCC